ACUGCAUUUUGAACUCUUUUGUUGACUAUAAUGACUACUCCAUUUUUUCUAAGGGAUUCCUGCCCACAGUAGUAGAUAUAAUGGUCAUCUGAGUUAAAUUCACCCAUUCUAGUCCAUCUUAUUUUACUGAUUCUUAGAAUGUCGAUGUUCUCUCUUGCCACCUCCUGUUUGACCAUUUCCAAUUUGCCUUGAUUCAUGGACCUAACAUUUCAGGUUCCUAUGCAAUAUAUCAUAUAUCAUGAAAAGUAA